AUGCGAAGAAUGGACAAGACCUUG
rnacentral:piRNA from 1 species